rnacentral:rRNA from 1 species
UACAGAGGGUGCGAGCGUUAAUCGGAAUUACUGGGCGUAAAGCGUGCGUAGACGGCUAUCUAAGUCGGGUGUGAAAGCCCCGGGCUCAACCUGGGAAUUGCAUUCGAGACUGAAUAGCUAGGGUACGGUAGAGGGAAGCGGAAUUUCCGGUGUAGCGGUGAAAUGCGCAGAUAUCGGGAGGAACACCAAUUGCGAAGGCAGCUUGCUGGGACGAUACUGACGCUGAGGCGCGAAAGCGUGGGGAGCGAACAGG